ACCUUAAUAGCAAAAUGGUAAUGCAAGGGAUCUAAGCUCCCUUAUCAAAGGUUCGAUUCUUUUUUAAGGUU
rnacentral:tRNA from 1 species